CGCGGGAGAUUUUUCGGAAACUUAGUGAUGGUCUAUCGGAGGGUCUUAGUGCGAUGCCCAUUARCGUCGUAGGAAUUCUUGGCAAUGCGAGGUAGUGGUGCUCCGGCACUCUUUCACGUUAUUUCUURGAAAAUCCAAGCACGUAUUGGGCAUCAAACRACGAUCAGGUUGGAUUUAAAACAUACAGGCCGCCACUUGUGUUGACGAWAAUUUUCCGUUUUGCCAAUUGWUGGAAAAUUUGCGCUGUGUUUUCAUACGAUGGUAAUAAAAUGAGUUGGAGUCUUGGGCUUUAUUCGUUGAGGACCACUCGGCAAAAUUUAAGCGGCGARCCCGUCGGUUCAAUGCUUGCGUUUUGCYAGGAAAUUCAAAGAUACGUCGGGCAAGGGAUGAUGAUGACUCAAAUGACUUGACAAAACGGAGUUGGAUUAAAACUAAAUUGCGUCCCUUUAAGUUCUCGUGCACAGCGGUGCGGGUGAUGGCCUUUCUCGGUGUAUUCGCGUGUCAUUUGGCGGCGUCUCGCUUAARAAUUG
rnacentral:misc_RNA from 1 species